rnacentral:rRNA from 1 species
CCUACGGGCGGCAGCAGUGGGGAAUAUUGGACAAUGGGCGAAAGCCUGAUCCAGCCAUGCCGCGUGUGUGAAGAAGGCCUUCGGGUUGUAAAGCACUUUCAGUGGGGAAGAAAGCCUUGGGGCUAAUACCCUCGAGGAAGGACAUCACCCACAGAAGAAGCACCGGCUAACUCCGUGCCAGCAGCCGCGGUAAUACGGAGGGUGCGAGCGUUAAUCGGAAUUACUGGGCGUAAAGCGCGCGUAGGCGGUCUGAUAAGCCGGUUGUGAAAGCCCCGGGCUCAACCUGGGAACGGCAUCCGGAACUGUCAGGCUAGAGUGCAGGAGAGGAAGGUAGAAUUCCCGGUGUAGCGGUGAAAUGCGUAGAGAUCGGGAGGAAUACCAGUGGCGAAGGCGGCCUUCUGGACUGACACUGACGCUGAGGUGCGAAAGCGUGGGUAGCAAACAGGAUUAGAUACCCCUUAGUC